GCCAGGCCGGAACCGGGCCCGGGACGUCGCGUAGUGCACCUACUCGCCUAGGGGUGGGCCAGGUUCGGAUGGCCGGCUGGGCUGGGGAACCCAGGCGGGGAUUUCCGGGAGCCCGCGCAGGGCUCGCUCCGUUUCACUUGGGUAGGAGCCUUAGAGUGUGGGUGAAUUUUAUUGUUUGUACCUGUUUGCAGAUGUCCUACUUACAGUUUAGCACAUUGGACCUUAAAUUCAUACUAACUUAGGUAGGAAACCAGACGCUGGCAAUAUUCACUUUACUUUUUUGAGGUUCAUAUUUGAGAUGGAGAUAAUUUUAUCAGCCUGGCAGGGCUGUCGGGAGGAUUAAUAGAUAUAUCUAAAAUUCUAGAGGGUUGGCGCAAAAGAGGAAGACCCUCAAUGAGAUGGAUUGACACAGUGGCUGCAACAUGGGCUCAAGCAUGAUAAUGAUGGGGAGAAUGGCGCAGGAUUUCUGUUGUACAUAGGGUCCCUAUGAGUUGGAACCGACUAGACGGCUCCUAACAACACAACAAAACACUUAGCAUUGUGUUGGCACAAAAUAAGGAUUGAAUAAAUGUUAGCUAAGCAUUAUUAUUUUUUUUAAUGUUAAUAUUCCACCAGUGGCUUAUCCAUUUGUCAUACUGUUGCAGGCUAAGAUUUCCCCUUUCAAAACUAAGUUCUGCCUAGGUUCUUGCCGUUUCCUGACCAAGAAUGACCCAGAGAGGCUCAGAAAUUCCACAUGAACAAAGGGGCUGUCAAAACGAAGAUGGAGUCCAUUGGAGUCCCUAGCGCGGGCUGCUGGGGAUUGAACAGAACUCACUCUGGGAUGCUGUGCAAGCUCCGCACCCAGCGGGGAACCGAAGAACAACGCUGAGGAAGUUGCCGUUUACCUGCUGCUGACAAAAUAGAGAAGUGAGCAGAGAUACAGCAAGACCUCAUACCACCAAGAAAGCAGUGCUGGGGGCAGAGUGCAUCCUUUGGACCCAGGUUUCCUGCACAGAGAAGCUCCUAGUCCAGGGGAAGCUUGAUGAGAAGAACCUUGCUCCAGAACCGACACAGAGAGAAAGCCUUUCCCUGGAGCUGAUGCCCUGAAUUUUGGACUUCUAGUCUACUCUACCGUGAGGAAAUAAAUUUCUCCUUGUUAAAGCCAUCCACUUGUGGUAUUUCUGUUAUAGCAGCCCGGAUAACUAAGACCACAGAGAACUCAAAACCACCAUUAACCAACAAGAUAAAACAAACAUUUAUAGAACACUCCACCCAGCAACAGCAGAAUACAUACACUUAUCAAGUGACAAUGGAGCGUUUACCAAGAUAGGCCAUAUCCUGGGCCAUAAAACAAACAUCAACAAAUUUAAAGGAAUUUAAAUCAUACAGAGUGUGUUCUCUGACCAAAACAAUCAAAUUAAAAAUCAAAAACAAAAAGAUAACAAGAAAA